CCAGACGCCUACGGGAGGAAGCAGUGGGGAAUAUUGGACGAUGGGGGGAACCCGGAUCCAGCGACGCCGCGUGAGUGAAGAAGUAUUUCGGUAUGUAAAGCUCUAUCAGCAGGGAAGAAAGAAAUGACGGUACCUGACUAAGAAGCCCCGGCUAACUACGUGCCAGCAGCCGCGGUAAUACGUAGGGGGCAAGCGUUAUCCGGAUUUACUGGGUGUAAAGGGAGCGCAGGCGGCGCGUUAAGCCUGGUGUGAAAGCCCGCGGCCCAACCGCGGGACUGCAUUGGGAACUGGCGCGCUGGAGUGCCGGAGGGGUAGGCGGAAUUCCUAGUGUAGCGGUGAAAUGCGUAGAUAUUAGGAGGAACACCAGUGGCGAAGGCGGCCUACUGGACGGUGACUGACGCUGAGGCUCGAAAGCGUGGGGAGCAAACAGGAUUAGAUACCCGGGUA
rnacentral:rRNA from 1 species